GAUGAACGCUGGCGGCGUGCCUAAUACAUGCAAGUCGAGCGAACAGACGAGGAGCUUGCUCCUCUGACGUUAGCGGCGGACGGGUGAGUAACACGUGGAUAACCUACCUAUAAGACUGGGAUAACUUCGGGAAACCGGAGCUAAUACCGGAUAAUAUAUUGAACCGCAUGGUUCAAUAGUGAAAGACGGUUUUGCUGUCACUUAUAGAUGGAUCCGAGCCGCAUUAGCUAGUUGGUAAGGUAACGGCUUACCAAGGCAACGAUGCGUAGCCGACCUGAGAGGGUGAUCGGCCACACUGGAACUGAGACACGGUCCAGACUCCUACGGGAGGCAGCAGUAGGGAAUCUUCCGCAAUGGGCGAAAGCCUGACGGAGCAACGCCGCGUGAGUGAUGAAGGUCUUCGGAUCGUAAAACUCUGUUAUUAGGGAAGGACAAAUGUGUAAGUAACUAUGCACGUCUUGACGGUACCUAAUCAGAAAGCCACGGCUAACUACGUG
rnacentral:rRNA from 1 species